rnacentral:rRNA from 1 species
AUUGAACGCUGGCGGCAGGCCUAACACAUGCAAGUCGAGCGGAUGAAGGGAGCUUGCUCCUGGAUUCAGCGGCGGACGGGUGAGUAAUGCCCAGGAAUCUGCCUGGUAGUGGGGGAUAACGUCCGGAAACGGGCGCUAAUACCGCAUACGUCCUGAGGGAGAAAGUGGGGGAUCUUCGGACCUCACGCUAUCAGAUGAGCCUAGGUCGGAUUAGCUAGUUGGUGGGGUAAAGGCCUACCAAGGCGACGAUCCGUAACUGGUCUGAGAGGAUGAUCAGUCACACUGGAACUGAGACACGGUCCAGACUCCUACGGGAGGCAGCAGUGGGGAAUAUUGGACAGUGGGCGAAAGCCUGAUCCAGCCAUGCCGCGUGUGUUAAGAAGGUCUUCGGAUUGUAAAGCACUUUAAGUUGGGAGGAAGGGCAGUAAGUUAAUACCUUGCUGUUUUGACGUUACCAACAGAAUAAGCACCGGCUAACUUCGUG